rnacentral:lncRNA from 1 species
CAGAGGGAGUUGAACAAUCACCAAGGUUACUAAACAGUACACUUGUAAAUAUGCGGGUAAAAGGUUACUUAUAUGUGCAGUUGUACACUAAAAAAUAAAUAGGCAGUAAAAUGCACUUCAUUUUGUUAAAAAAAAUGUGGAGGAGAUAUUUUAAGGGUGCAAAUACAGUACUACAAGUCCAAGGAAAGACAUACAUACAACACCAUGACAUAAAGAAAAA